rnacentral:tmRNA from 1 species
GGGGCUGUUUUUGGAUUUGACAAAAUUAUCAACAAAGUAAAGUGCAUGCCGAGGAACGGUUUGCCUCGAAAAAAACCGUAAAAAAAUAGCUGCAAAUAAUCAAAAUAAAUACGCUUUAGCAGCUUAAAAAACUGUUUUAAAGCCUUUCCUUCUUAGCCUCCCUCUUUAGGAAUAGAACAUAGGAAAGUCAUAAAAAAGAGAAAACGUGGGCAUUAAGCUUGACGGUGACACGGAAAUGAUAUUACAAGCUAUGUAUCUAAAAUGCGUUUUUUCAAAUUAGAUAAUGAAAUUUAUAUAAAAAACUAAGCAUGUAGUACUUUAUUCGUCGAAAUUUUGGACGCGGGUUCGAAUCCCGCCAGCUCCAA